UACGUAGGUGGCGAGCGUUGUCCGGAUUUACUGGGCGUAAAGGGAGCGUAGGCGGACUUUUAAGUGAGAUGUGAAAUACUCGGGCUCAACUUGAGUGCUGCAUUUCAAACUGGAAGUCUAGAGUGCAGGAGAGGAGAAUGGAAUUCCUAGUGUAGCGGUGAAAUGCGUAGAGAUUGGGAAGAACACCAGUGGCGAAGGCGAUUCUCUGGACUGUAACUGACGCUGAGGCUCGAAAGCGUGGGGAGCAAACAGG
rnacentral:rRNA from 1 species